GCACUAGUAGCUCAACUGGAUAGAGUACUCGGCUACGGACCGAGCGGUUGGGGGUUCGAACCCCUCCUGGUGCACCA
rnacentral:tRNA from 2 species